rnacentral:rRNA from 1 species
UGGGGAAUCUUGCGCAAUGGGCGAAAGCCUGACGCAGCCAUGCCGCGUGAAUGAUGAAGGUCUUAGGAUUGUAAAAUUCUUUCACCGGGGACGAUAAUGACGGUACCCGGAGAAGAAGCCCCGGCUAACUUCGUGCCAGCAGCCGCGGUAAUACGAAGGGGGCUAGCGUUGCUCGGAAUUACUGGGCGUAAAGGGCGCGUAGGCGGACAGUUAAGUCGGGGGUGAAAGCCCGGGGCUCAACCUCGGAAUUGCCUUCGAUACUGGCUGUCUUGAGUACGGGAGAGGUGUGUGGAACUCCGAGUGUAGAGGUGAAAUUCGUAGAUAUUCGGAAGAACACCAGUGGCGAAGGCGACACACUGGCCCGUUACUGACGCUGAGGCGCGAAAGCGUGGGGAGCAAACAG